CGUAUAGGAACUUCUAGUAUUUCAAUGUUGGCUCUCGAGCUAGGGAACAGUAGUGCCCUCGUAUACUUUUAAAACGUGGUUCCUGAAAGAUAAUAAUUUCGAAUAGCUGUACUUUGGGAGACCUGCAAGCUUUGAAAUUACGUAUAUCAUUGAUUUGCGCGGAUAACCAUUACUGCUUUUGAUUAUCGCACCAUGGACCGAUUCAGAUCUUUACCUUCAAGAACAUUUGCAAGAAGAAUCUAUUCAAAAUAUGGCGGUGUAUUUGGAAGGAAAUACUCCAAGUGGCUGAAAUCACGCGUGACUCAUAAAUAAACUACUACUUACAGGAAAGCUGCAAAGAAAUGUCUACCAUUUGCUGCUUCCCAAAAAUACAAAGAGAAAAGGGGUUAAAGCGUCGAUUGGUUUCGCUCAGCCGGUGCCUUUAUCAAGACCCGACUCUUCACCUACUGUAAUAACCGUACACAGAGAAGAUCAGAGGGUCGUACCGCUUAGGUAAGUGGUAGCGUGAAGGACGCGUGUAGGUGUAAGUGGAGGUGGCGGUGGUAGCAGGCGAAGAAGGUUUGAGGGUAGA